CCUCAAAGGAACUUUGGGAGUCACAUGCUAUUUUUAUCCUUAGUUUAUAGAUAAGAAAACUGAGGAAGAUAAAGUUUAAGUGAUUUCCUAUUGACUAGGGAGAAGAUAGAUCCAUCUUCCAUCUAGUGUCUGGGCAUCUACAGAUUGGAGGAGUUGAAGGCAUCAAGGUGUUGCAGUGGAUAUAAUGCUGGAACUGGAGUUAGGAAGACCAGAGUUCAAAUUUGACCUAGACACUUACUAGAUAUGUGACCCUGGGCAAGUUAUUUAACUUCUCUCUCUAUGCC
rnacentral:lncRNA from 1 species